rnacentral:rRNA from 1 species
GUUGAACGCUGGCGGCAUGCCUUACACAUGCAAGUCGAACGGUAACGCGGGGCAACCUGGCGACGAGUGGCGAACGGGUGAGUAAUGCAUCGGAACGUGCCCAGUAGUGGGGGAUAGCCCGGCGAAAGCCGGAUUAAUACCGCACACGACCUACGGGUGAAAGCGGGGGACCGUAAGGCCUCGCGCUAUUGGAGCGGCCGAUGUCAGAUUAGGUUGUUGGUGGGGUAAAAGCCUACCAAGCGGACGAUCUGUAGCUGGUCUGAGAGGACGAUCAGCCACACUGGGACUGAGACACGGCCCAGACUCCUACGGGAGGCAGCAGUGGGGAAUUUUGGACAAUGGGGCAACCCUGAUCCAGCCAUGCCGCGUGCGGGAAGAAGGCCUUCGGGUUGUAAACCGCUUUUGUCAGGGAAGAAACGCUCUGGGCUAAUACCCCGGGGUAAUGACGGUACCUGAAGAAUAAGCACCGGCUAACUACGUGCCAGCAGCCGCCGUAACAC